AACGUAGGAGGCGAGCGUUAUCCGGAGUUACUGGGCGUAAAGCGCAUGUAGGCGGUUGGAUAAGUUGCGUGUGAAAGCUCCUGGCUAAACUAGGAGAGGACAGGCAAGACUGUUCGGCUAGAGGGUGGUAGAGGGGCACAGAAUUCGGGGUGUAGCGGUGAAAUGUGUAGAGAUCCCGAGGAAUACCAGUGGCGAAGGCGGCAUCCUGGACCGGUAUUGACGCUGAGGCGCGAAAGCUAGGGUAGCAAACGGG
rnacentral:rRNA from 1 species